AGGUAAGCUACUAAGAGCGAAUGGUGGAUGCCUUGACUGGUAAAGGCGAUGAAGGACGUACUAGACUGCGAUAAGCUACGGGGAGCUGUCAAGAAGCUUUGAUCCGUAGAUUUCCGAAUGGGGCAACCCAAUGUAUAGAGAUAUACAUUACCUAUAUAGGAGCGAACGAGGGGAAUUGAAACAUCUUAGUACCCUCAGGAAAAGAAAUCAAUAGAGAUUGCGUCAGUAGCGGCGAGCGAAAGCGCAAGAGGGCAAACCCAGUGCUUGCACUGGGGGUUGUAGGACUGCAAUGUGCAAGAGGUGAGUUUAGCAGAACAUUCUGGAAAGUAUAGCCAUAGAGGGUGAUAGUCCCGUAUGCGAAAAACAAACCUUAGCUAGCAGUAUCCUGAGUAGGGCGGGACACGAGAAAUCCUGUCUGAAGCUGGGUCGACCACGAUCCAACCCUAAAUACUAAUACCAGAUCGAUAGUGCACAAGUACCGUGAGGGAAAGGUGAAAAGAACUGAGGUGAUCAGAGUGAAAUAGAACCUGAAACCAUUUGCUUACAAUCAUUCAGAGCCCUAUGUAGCAAUACAGGGUGAUGGACUGCCUUUUGCAUAAUGAGCCUGCGAGUUGUGGUGUCUGGCAAGGUUAAGCAAACGCGAAGCCGUAGCGAAAGCGAGUCUGAAUAGGGCGCUUAGUCAGAUGCUGCAGACCCGAAACGAAGUGAUCUAUCCAUGAGCAAGUUGAAGCUAGUGUAAGAACUAGUGGAGGACUGAACCCAUAGGCGUUGAAAAGCCCCGGGAUGACUUGUGGAUAGGGGUGAAAGGCCAAUCAAACUUCGUGAUAGCUGGUUCUCUCCGAAAUAUAUUUAGGUAUAGCGUUGUGUCGUAAUAUAAGGGGGUAGAGCACUGAAUGGGCUAGGGCAUACACCAAUGUACCAAACCCUAUCAAACUCCGAAUACCUUAUAUGUAAUCACAGCAGUCAGGCGGCGAGUGAUAAAAUCCGUCGUCAAGAGGGAAACAACCCAGACUACCAGCUAAGGUCCCUAAAUCUUACUUAAGUGGAAAACGAUGUGAAGUUACUUAAACAACCAGGAGGUUGGCUUAGAAGCAGCCAUCCUUUAAAGAAAGCGUAAUAGCUCACUGGUCUAGUGAUUUUGCGCGGAAAAUAUAACGGGGCUAAAGUAAGUACCGAAGCUGUAGACUUGCGCACAACUUAGAUUAUUUAAGUUUAGAAUAUGAGAAACUAAGUUAUAUGUUUAGUUAUAUUUUUACUGAUUUUUAUAGAGUAAAGAUAGAAAUAAAACUUAGUAAAAUCAGUAAAAAUAUUCUUAGACUAAAGUUAAGUAGUUUAAGUUGUGUGCAAGUGGUAGGAGAGCGUUCUAUUUGCGUCGAAGGUAUACCGGUAAGGAGUGCUGGAGCGAAUAGAAGUGAGCAUGCAGGCAUGAGUAGCGAUAAUUAAUGUGAGAAUCAUUAACGCCGUAAACCCAAGGUUUCCUACGCGAUGCUCGUCAUCGUAGGGUUAGUCGGGUCCUAAGUCGAGUCCGAAAGGGGUAGACGAUGGCAAAUUGGUUAAUAUUCCAAUACCAACAUUAGUGUGCGAUGGAAGGACGCUUAGGGCUAAGGGGGCUAGCGGAUGGAAGUGCUAGUCUAAGGUCGUAGGAGGUUAUACAGGCAAAUCCGUAUAACAAUACUCCGAGAACUGAAAGGCUUUUUGAAGUCUUCGGAUG
rnacentral:rRNA from 1 species